rnacentral:rRNA from 1 species
GUGCCAGCAGCCGCGGUAAUACGGAGGAUGCAAGCGUUAUCCGGAUUUAUUGGGUUUAAAGGGUGCGUAGGCUGUUUGUCAAGUCAGGGGUGAAAUACCACGGCUUAACCGUGGAACUGCCUUUGAUACUGGCGAGCUGGAAUACGGAUGCCGUGGGAGGAAUGAGUAGUGUAGCGGUGAAAUGCAUAGAUAUUACUCAGAACACCGAUUGCGAAGGCAUCUCACGAAUCCGUCAUUGACGCUGAGGCACGAAAGCGUGGGGAUCAAACAGGAUUAGAUACCCUGGUAGUCCACGCAGUAAACGAUGAUAACUAACCGUCGGCGAUAGAUUGUCGGUGGCCAAGCGAAAGCGAUAAGUUAUCCACCUGGGGAGUACGUUCGCAAGAAUGAAACUCAAAGGAAUUGACGGGGGCCCGCACAAGCGGAGGAACAUGUGGUUUAAUUCGAUGAUACGCGAGGAACCUUACCCGGGCUCGAACGGCAAAGGAAGGAAGCAGAGAUGCUGACGCCCUUCGGGGCCUUUGUCGAGGUGCUGCAUGGUUGUCGUCAGCUCGUGUCGUGAGAUGUUGGCUCAAGUGCCAUAACGAGCGCAACCCUUGCUGCCAGUUACCAGCACGUAAAGGUGGGGACUCUGGCAGGACUGCCACCGCAAGGUGAGAGGAAGGCGGGGAUGACGUCAAAUCAGCACGGCCCUUACGUCCGGGGCGACACACGUGUUACAAUGGUGACUACAGAGGGAAGCCACCCGGCGACGGGGCGCGAAUCUCGAAAAGUCAUCUCAGUUCGGAUCGGAGUCUGCAACCCGACUCCGUGAAGCUGGAUUCGCUAGUAAUCGCGCAUCAGCCAUGGCGCGGUGAAUACGUUCCCGGGCCUUGUACACACCGCCCGU